CCUACGGGAGGCAGCAGUGAGGAAUAUUGGUCAAUGGGCGCGAGUCUGAACCAGCAAAGUAGCGUGAAGGAUGACUGCCCUACGGGUUGUAAACUUCUUUUAUAAAGGAAUACAGUGAGGCACGUGUGCCUUUUUGUAUGUACUUUAUGAAUAAGGAUCGGCUAACUCCGUGCCAGCAGCCGCGGUAAUACGGAGGAUCCGAGCGUUAUCCGGAUUUAUUGGGUUUAAAGGGAGCGUAGAUGGGUUGUUAAGUCAGUUGUGAAAGUUUGCGGCUCAACCGUAAAAGUGCAAUUGAUACUGGCAGUCUUGAGUACAGUUGAGGUAGGCGGAAUUCGUGGUGUAGCGGUGAAAUGCGUAGAUAUCACGAAGAACUCCGAUUGCGAAGGCAGCUUACUAAACUGCCACUGACAUUGAGGCUCGAAAGUGUGGGGAUCAAACAGGAUUAGAUACCCUUGUAGUC
rnacentral:rRNA from 1 species